AGUGAACGCUGGCGGUAGGCCUAACACAUGCAAGUCGAACGGCAGCACAGUAAGAGCUUGCUCUUACGGGUGGCGAGUGGCGGACGGGUGAGGAAUACAUCGGAAUCUACUUUUUCGUGGGGGAUAACGUAGGGAAACUUACGCUAAUACCGCAUACUACCUACGGGUGAAAGCAGGGGAUCUUCGGACCUUGCGCGUUUGAAUGAGCCGAUUUCGGAUUAGCUAGUUGGCGGGGUAAAGGCCCACCAAGGCGACGAUCCGUUACUAGUCUGAGAGGAUGAUCAGCCACACUGGAACUGAGACACGGUCCAGACUCCUAGGGGAGGCAGCAGUGGGGAAGAUUGGACAAUGGGCGCAAGCCUGAUCCAGCCAUACCGCGUGGGUGAAGAAGGCCUUCGGGUUGUAAAGCCCUUUUGUUGGGAAAGAAAAGCAGCAGGUUAAUACCCCGCUGUUCUGACGGUACCCAAAGAAUAAGCACCGGCUAACUUCGUG
rnacentral:rRNA from 1 species